ensembl:lncRNA
UGUAAAAAUGCGCAUUGGGUAAAAGUUAUAUAAAGACUUGAGGUCUGCACGCCUUUGAACACUUGGGUCAUAUACAGGAAAUACAUCAUGCAAGUAGACAAGUGCUCAAGUGCAAAGACUGCAAGUGUGGGUAUUGGGGGGGGUUAAGUCGGUGGAUGUAUUUGGCAGAAGUUUUGGAUAGAAUUUCUUGAAAUACGCACGAAAAAAAAAGUAUUGAGCCACAAUCUGGUGGAAGACUUCCUGAGGGAAGACGAUAUAAACAACCCCUGCAUGCCAAGGAUACGAUGAACUACAACUUGCACUUGCACCCCUUGAAAGAGCAUCUCUUGUUGAGAGAGCUGUUUGGACUCUCAUUCUGACAGCACCUAUUCACUGCAGAGGAUCCAUUGACCAUGGACCUACCCAUAGAUCUAACCAGUGAAGGAAUUGGAUUUUCUGUACGGGGAUGUCUUCUGCAGAGUGUCCAAUGAAAACACCAAGAAUCUGCUGGAUGCUUUUUACAGCCACAAUCUGGUGGAAGACUUCCUGAGGGAAGGCAAUGUAAACAUCCCCGUUUUUUCCGACCACAAUCCUGCAUGCAAAGGAUACGAUGAACUUCUACUUGCACUUGCACCCCUUGAAAAAGCUCCUCCUGUUGAGAGAGUAUAAUGCC